rnacentral:tRNA from 1 species
GCGGAAGUGGCGGAACUGGCAGACGCACCAGCUUGAGGGGCUGGCGCUCGCAAGAGCGUGGGGGUUCGAAUCCCCCCUUCCGCA